rnacentral:rRNA from 1 species
GUGAAUACCUGACCAACGUUGCUUCGGCGGUGCGCCCCCCCGGGGGUAGCCGCCGGAGACCACAUUGAACCUCUUGUCUUUAGUGUUGUCUGAGCUUGAUAGCAAACCUAUUAAAACUUUCAACAAUGGAUCUCUUGGUUCCGGCAUCGAUGAAGAACGCAGCGAACUGCGAUAAGUAAUGUGAAUUGCAGAAUUCAGUGAAUCAUCGAGUCUUUGAACGCACAUUGCGCCCCCUGGCAUUCCGGGGGGCAUGCCUGUCCGAGCGUCAUUGCUGCCCUUCAAGCCCGGCUUGUGUGUUGGGUCGUCGUCCCCCCCGGGGGACGGGCCCGAAAGGCAGCGGCGGCACCGCGUCCGGUCCUCGAGCGUAUGGGGCUUUGUCACCCGCUCGAUUAGGGCCGGCCGGGCGCCAGCCGGCGUCUCCAACCUUUUAUUUUACCAGGUUGACCUCGGAUCAGGUAGGGAUACCCGCUGAACUUAAGCAUAUCAAU